rnacentral:rRNA from 1 species
GACGAACGCUGGCGGCGUGCCUAAUACAUGCAAGUUGAGCGCUGAAGGUUGGUACUUGUACCGACUGGAUGAGCAGCGAACGGGUGAGUAACGCGUGGGUAAUCUGCCUUUGAGCGGGGGACAACAUUUGGAAACGAAUGCUAAUACCGCAUAAAAACUUUAAACACAAGUUUUAAGUUUGAAAGAUGCAAUUGCAUCACUCAAAGAUGAUCCCGCGUUGUAUUAGCUAGUUGGUGAGGUAAAGGCUCACCAAGGCGAUGAUACAUAGCCGACCUGAGAGGGUGAUCGGCCACAUUGGGACUGAGACACGGCCCAAACUCCUACGGGAGGCAGCAGUAGGGAAUCUUCGGCAAUGGAGGAAAGUCUGACCGAGCAACGCCGCGUGAGUGAAGAAGGUUUUCGGAUCGUAAAACUCUGUUGGUAGAGAAGAACGUUGGUGAGAGUGGAAAGCUCAUCAAGUGACGGUAACUACCCAGAAAGGGACGGCUAACUACGUG